UACAGAGGGGGCAAGCGUUAUUCGGAAUUAUUGGGCGUAAAGGGCGCGUAGGCGGCCUGGCAAGUGACGGGUGAAAGCCCUCGGCUCAACCGAGGAACUGCCUGUCAUACUGCCGGGCUUGGGUCCGGGAGAGGUGAGUGGAAUUCCCAGUGUAGCGGUGAAAUGCGUAGAUAUUGGGAGGAACACCAGUGGCGAAGGCGGCUCACUGGACCGGAACUGACGCUGAGGCGCGAAAGCGUGGGGAGCAAACAGG
rnacentral:rRNA from 1 species